GGGGAUAGCUGAGUGGUACAGCGCCUGCCUAGCAUGCACAAGGUCCUGGGUUCAAUCCCCAGUAUCUCUA
rnacentral:tRNA from 1 species